rnacentral:rRNA from 1 species
CCUACGGGAGGCUGCAGUGGGGAAUUUUGGACAAUGGGCGCAAGCCUGAUCCAGCUAUUCCGCGUGUGGGAAGACGGCCUUCGGGUUGUAAACCACUUUUGUAGAGAACGAAAAGUCUAUUGAUAAUACCGAUAGAUGAUGACGGUACUCUAAGAAUAAGCACCGGCUAACUAAGUGCCAGCAGCCGCGGUAAUACGUAGGGUGCGAGCGUUAAUCGGAAUUACUGGGCGUAAAGGGUGUGCAGGCGGUUUUGCAAGAUGGAUGUGAAAGCCCCGGGCUUAACCUGGGAAAGCCAUACAUGACUGCAAGACUAGAGUGCGUCAGAGGGGGGUGGAAUUCCAAGUGUAGCAGUGAAAUGCGUAGAUAUUUGGAAGAACACCGAUGGCGAAGGCAGCCCCCUGGGACGCAACUGACGCUCAUACACGAAAGCGUGGGGAGCAAACAGGAUUAGAUACCCUUGUAGUC